UGGCCGUAAACGAUGUGGACUUGGUGUUGGAAUGGCUCCGAGCUGCUCCAGUGCCGAAGGGAAGCUGUUAAGUCCACCGCCUGGGAAGUACGGUCGCAAGACUGAAACUUAAAGGAUUGGCGGGAGCACCACAACGCGUGGAGCCUGCGGUUUAAUUGGAUUCAACGCCGGACAUCUCACCAGGGCGACAGCAGAAUGAUGGCCAGGUUGAUGACCUUGCUUGACAAGCUGAGAGGAGGUGCAUGGCGUGUGACUGU
rnacentral:rRNA from 1 species